GACGAACGCUGGCGGCGUGCCUAACACAUGCAAGUGGAGCGACGAACCAGGCUUCGGCCUGGGGCAAGGCCGCGAACGGGUGAGUAACACGUGGGUAACCUGCCCUGAUGAUUGGGACAACCCGAGGAAACUCGGGCUAAUACCGAAUGUGCCCUCCGGCCUCAAGGCCGCUGGGGAAAGGAAGCUUCGGCCUCCGCAUCGGGAUGGGCCCGCGGCCCAUUAGCUUGUUGGUGAGGUAACGGCUCACCAAGGCGACGAUGGGUAGCUGGUCUGAGAGGACGAUCAGCCACACUGGGACUGAGACACGGCCCAGACUCCUACGGGAGGCAGCAGUGGGGAAUCUUGCGCAAUGCGCGAAAGCGUGACGCAGCAACGCCGC
rnacentral:rRNA from 1 species